CCUAAGUGUAAAGCUCCAUCGUCCUAUUAAAAGAAUAGCAAACCAUGAUUAAAGCCCUAACCCCCUUUCCUUCCUUCUCUUGCUAACCAAACCCAUAAAAGCCUCCAACUAUGAUUACACCUUUUGAUCACCAAUUGCAAUGAUGAAUCAUUGAUAGGUGUUAGUAGAAGUAAAGACCAGCAAAGCCUUCACCGCAUCCUACUUCUUCUUCUUCUUCUAACUAUAUAAACACCAUUCCUCAUUCCUUUGAUUCCAUGAACAGCAGAAGAGAGAACAGGGAGAAGGAGAACGACCGAAGCAUCAGGGAGCAAGAACAAGAACGUUCUUCAAGUUCUUCUAGCCCUUCAUCAACCACAGCACCAAGAGAAGGAGGGUGAUGGCCAAGGAGCGAGCUGACCGAAGCUGAAGAGGGAGCUACAUCUUACCCACCAAGCUGUUUCUUCGAGCUUCUUUGCUAGGUAAGGUCCAACGGCUUCAUCUUCUUCCUUUCCUCCUCAAAUUCAAAAUUGCGACCCUUCCCUUGCUUCAUUCUCCCAGUUUAUUCAAAUUUUGUUAGCAUAGCUACCACCACAAACAAAGAGGGGUGAGUGAUCUUCCAUUACUUAUGUUUGAUUUGGCCGAAUGGCCUUGAGGAUGUGAUCAAAAUUCUGGUUCUUGAAUUGGUUAGGGUUCGGGUUCAGGGGAGAAGCAGGAAUAAAUUCUUUGUUAUUGAUCAACAAAAGAAAAAAAUUCAGCAGAUUGGCGCCAACUUGUGUAAAAUUCUGGGCAAAAUCUAUACGAAAAAGUAGUGGCCGAAAAACUCAGCCUGCACAAAUUAGCUACGAAUAAAGUAUGGUAGAAUUAUAAUUUUUUAUUUGAUUUUUUUUAUCGACGGCAUUAAAUGCGAAAAAUGAUGUACAAACUGUGGCUCUUUAAAGGUCUCCACGAUAUUUAAAACUGUGACUAAUAACUUUAAAACUGUGGCAAACUGAGUAUUAGUCACAAAUAUUUUUUCGUGACUAAUGUAUGAUUGCUACCGUUUUUAUGGAUUUUAACCACUAUUUUUUUCGUGGCUAAAUCCCUUAUUUCUUGUGUUGCAUGGGCUCUUGAGGAAGAUAAGAAGCUAAUUGAUUAUGUUACUAGGUAUGGCUGCUGGAAUUGGAGUCAACUUCCAAAAUUUGCUGGCCUAGCAAGGUGUAUGUGGGAAGAGUUACAGGUUGAGGUGGCUGAAUUAUUUAAGUCCUAAUCUCAAAAGAGGGAACUUUACUCAACAAGAAGAAGAUAUUAUCAUCAAAUUGCACAAUAAACUCGGCAAUAGGAAGAACUAACAGAUAACGAAAUCAAGAACUAUUGGCACACAACGCUCAAGAAGCGCGCGCUUGCAACAAAAAGAAGUUACUAGUAAUAAUAAUAAUAACAAUAAAGAAUCAUCCAAAUCGUCAUCAUCACAAGAAUGCCACCGUGAGAGGAACAUGGCGGUGGUUAUGACUUAUGAACAAUAAUGUUGUUCUUGAUCUUGAUCCUUCAGAAUGCACUUCUACCCCAUCAUCACCACUAUCUUCUUCUUCUAGUGACGAAUUUUCUUCUGUAACCACUUCAGAUCACAAUAAUAACACAACAGCGAGUGAUGAACAAAUUUCUCACCAAAUAAUAACAAAGGAAAAUGUGUCAGACAAUUAUAAUAAUUAUCACUUUGAAAGUCCGGAUUCUGCAGUGAAGAUUUUCUGGAUGCUAGUGAUGCCAAUUUUGAUUAUCACAUACUAUCCAUGAUUCAAAAUUUUUUGUCACAGCCAUAUAUGACCGACGACAUCUCACUCAUACAAUAACAUGAUAAUACGUAUUCUAAUGAAUAAACAUUUCAUAUUAUUGGGAUUAGUUGUUUCUUGAUGGGUCAAUCAUCAUUGGUGACUGACGAUUGAUACAAGCUGUACGCUAAUAUUGUUGUGUUAAUAAUUAUACCAUGUUGGCAGU